rnacentral:rRNA from 1 species
UACGGAGGGUGCGAGCGUUGUCCGGAAUCAUUGGGCGUAAAGGGCGCGUAGGUGGCGUGAUAAGGGUGUGGUGAAAGCCCGGGGCUCAACCCCGGGUCUGCCAUGCCGACUGUCAGGCUCGAGUGCUGUAGGGGCAGGCGGAAUUCCGGGUGUAGCGGUGAAAUGCGCAGAUAUCAGGAGGAACACCAGCGGCGAAGGCGGCGCUCUGGGCUGGAACUGACGCUGAGGAGCGAAAGCGUGGGGAGCGAACAGG